CCUACGGGGGGCAGCAGUGGGGAAUAUUGCACAAUGGGCGCAAGCCUGAUGCAGCCAUGCCGCGUGUGUGAAGAAGGCCUUCGGGUUGUAAAGCACUUUCAGCGGGGAGGAAGGCGGUGAGGUUAAUAACCUCAUCGAUUGACGUUACCCGCAGAAGAAGCACCGGCUAACUCCGUGCCAGCAGCCGCGGUAAUACGGAGGGUGCAAGCGUUAAUCGGAAUUACUGGGCGUAAAGCGCACGCAGGCGGUCUGUCAAGUCGGAUGUGAAAUCCCCGGGCUCAACCUGGGAACUGCAUUCGAAACUGGCAGGCUAGAGUCUUGUAGAGGGGGGUAGAAUUCCAGGUGUAGCGGUGAAAUGCGUAGAGAUCUGGAGGAAUACCGGUGGCGAAGGCGGCCCCCUGGACAAAGACUGACGCUCAGGAGCGAAAGCGUGGGGAGCAAACAGGAUUAGAUACCCUUGUAGUC
rnacentral:rRNA from 1 species